UGGUGCUAUUUCUUUACUCCCUUCAAGCUG
rnacentral:piRNA from 1 species